rnacentral:rRNA from 1 species
GAUCCUGCUCAGGAUGAACGCUAGCUACAGGCUUAACACAUGCAAGUCGAGGGGCAGCAUGACCUAGCAAUAGGUUGAUGGCGACCGGCGCACGGGUGAGUAACACGUAUCCAACCUACCGGUUAUUCCGGGAUAGCCUUUCGAAAGAAAGAUUAAUACCGGAUAGUAUAACGAGAAGGCAUCUUCUUGUUAUUAAAGAAUUUCGAUAACCGAUGGGGAUGCGUUCCAUUAGUUUGUUGGCGGGUAACGGCCACCAAG